AGAACGAACGCUGGCGGCAUGCCUAAUACAUGCAAGUCGAACGAACUCUUCGGAGUUAGUGGCGCACGGGUGCGUAACGCGUGGGAAUCUGCCCUUGGGUUCGGAAUAACAGCUGGAAACGACUGCUAAUACCGGAUGAUGACGAAAGUCCAAAGAUUUAUCGCCCAGGGAUGAGCCCGCGUAGGAUUAGCUAGUUGGUGAGGUAAAGGCUCACCAAGGCGACGAUCCUUAGCUGGUCUGAGAGGAUGAUCAGCCACACUGGGACUGAGACACGGCCCAGACUCCUACGGGAGGCAGCAGUAGGGAAUAUUGGACAAUGGGCGAAAGCCUGAUCCAGCAAUGCCGCGUGAGUGACGAAGGCCUUAGGUGUAAAGCUCUUUACCCGAGAUGAUAAUGACAGUAUCGGAGAAUAAGCCCCGGCUAACUCCGUGCCAGCAGCCGC
rnacentral:rRNA from 1 species